GAUGAAGAACGCAGCGAAAUGCGAUAAGUAAUGUGAAUUGCAGAAUUCAGUGAAUCAUCGAAUCUUUGAACGCACCUUGCGCCCUUUGGCCAUUCCGAAGGGCAUGCCUGUUUGAGUAUCAUGAACACCUCAACUCUUCAUGGUUUUCCAUGAUGAGCUUGGACUUUGGGGGUCUUGCUGGCCUGUGGGUCGGCUCCUCUCAAAUGAAUCAGCUUGCCGGUUUUUGGUGGGCAUCACAGGUGUGAUAACUAUCUCCGCUUGUGGUUUUCCACCAGGUUAACCUUCAGCAGUGGAGGUUCACUGGAGCUUACAAAUGUCUCUCCUCUGUGAGGACAGCCCUUUGAAUGUUUGAUCUCAAAUCAGGUAGGACUACCCGCUGAACUUAAGCAUAUCAAUAAGCGGAGGA
rnacentral:misc_RNA from 1 species